rnacentral:misc_RNA from 1 species
UUUCAGCGAUUUCUCGGCUUGUAGCAGUGAUAUCUCGGGGGAAUUGCAGCGUCUUGCUAGUUUACCAUCCCCUGAAAACGCACCUAAAAACGAUGGCUGUGAAUCUGCGGAGCCUGAGCCUGAGCCUUGUUUAGGGUUUCUACAGAGGGAGAACUUCUCGACGGAAAUAAUCGAGAGUAUUUCGCCGGAAGAUCUCCAACCGACAGUCAAGAUCUGCGUGGAUGGGCUACAAUCGCCGUCGGUUGCUGUGAAGAGAUCGGCGGCAGCGAAACUUCGACUUUUGGCGAAGAACCGGUCUGAUAACCGGGCAUUAAUAGGCGAAUCGGGUGCUAUUCCGGCCCUAAUUCCGCUUCUCCGAUGCAGCGAUCCGUGGACGCAGGAACAUGCAGUAACAGCUCUGUUGAAUCUCUCCCUCCUUGAAGAAAACAAGUGUUUGAUUACGAACAAUGGAGCUAUAAAAUCUUUGGUUUAUGUACUCAAAACAGGAACCGAAACUUCGAAGCAAAACGCAGCUUGUGCUUUGCUUAGUCUCGCAUUGGUUGAAGAGAACAAGAGCUCGAUUGGUGCAUGUGGGGCGAUACCGCCAUUGGUUUCUCUGUUAAUUAAUGGAUCCACUAGAGGAAAGAAGGAUGCUUUAACUACCCUGUACAAACUUUGCUCCAUUAAACACAAUAAGGAGAGAGCUGUGAGUGCUGGGGCUGUAAAGCCGCUGGUGGGGAUGGUGGCGGAGCAGGGUGUGGGGAUGGCUGAGAAGGCGAUGGUGGUGCUGAGUAGCUUGGCAGCAAUUGAGGAAGGGAGAGAGGCUAUUGUGGAGGAAGCAGGGAUUGCAGCGCUUGUGGAAGCCAUAGAAGAUGGGUCUGUUAAAGGAAAGGAAUUUGCGGUGCUUACACUGUUGCAAUUGUGUGCUGAUAGUGUGAGGAAUCGUGGGUUGCUUGUGAGGGAAGGUGGGAUUCCUCCUCUUGUUGCUCUUUCACAGACUGGGAGUGUUCGUGCUAAGCAUAAGGCUGAGACCCUUCUUGGGUACUUGAGAGAACCAAGACAGGAGGCUUCCUCUUCGAGUCCUUAAAGAAGUGCCUUUACUAAUUUUUUUCUAAGAGGUAAAAUUAGUAAUUAGACUGUGUUUGGUUGUUGUUGAUUUUGUAUAUAGGUAUUUGUUCUUGAUGUUUUGUACAGUGUGGUUCAUUAAGUUUGGGGAGAGUGUGGAGUCUACUGCAAUUAGGGGAAGCUAGUGAGCAAGAGAGACUGACUUGUUAGAUGCAUGAUGAAUUUAACUAGUUUUUGGGGUUUGUUAUCAUCAUGGUUUUCUAGAGAAAGAAUACUCGUUCACCUUUAGUGGUUUUUUUUUUCGGCUGAUAUGAUGAAAAUUUGGGUUUUUUCUCGCUAUGUUUUGUUUGGA